UUUUAGGUAAAUAAAAAUAUUAAAUUCUAAGUAAGCAUAUAUAGAUAUUGAAGUUUGAUAGUCUAAUAAUAUGUUAGGUUUUUAACCCAUAUUAUCUUGUUCUCAUAGGAUUUUAUUUCCUUAACCAAAGAGUCUCCAGUUAAGUGGGCGGACAAUCCAAGGAAGCUACUAAAGAAAAGUAAAAAAUAUUAACAUAAAAUGAAAAGUGAUCAAGUUCCAAGAAUGUGUUGGCAGCACAACAUCCACACAAAGUGCUUCAAACUUUCAUAGUUGGCCUUUUUAUUUUCUUCGGAUAUAAAAAUUCAAACUUUCUCUUCAUUUUAUCUUUGAAAGUUUCAGACUGUGUAUAAUCAAAUUUUCAGCGGCUAAAACUUAAGUUUCCUCCAUCGUGCCUAAAAUACCCAAAUUUUACCGAGAGAGACACGAAAUGGAAGAUCUAAGAGCGGAAAGAGAAAGAGGGCAAAGUCUGAAAGAGACAGAUGCAAAGAAGGAGGUUUUAUGAUUUGUGGGCUUGGCUUGUAUUUGUGAUUUAUGGGUUUGGUUUAUGCUGCUUGUGCACUAUGUUUGAGGAAAUUUAUGGGAUGAAGAUGAAGAUGUUGAAGAGAGAGAUGAGAUUAUUUUGGUUUUGAUGAUUUAUGGGUUUGGUUUGACAUUUUUGCUGGGUGUGUAAUGUGUUUGAAGAAAUUUAAUGUUGAAAGCAUAUAACAAAACUAAUUUAACUUUAAAUUUGUGGAGGAAAAAAAGUCAGAGAAAGAAUUACCCGUUGGAGUCAUUGUUAACCAAAAAGUCA